AUUGAACGCUGGCGGCAGGCCUAACACAUGCAAGUCGAACGGUAACAGGAAGAAGCUUGCUUCUUUGCUGACGAGUGGCGGACGGGUGAGAAAUGUCUGGGAAACUGCCUGAUGGAGGGGGAUAACUACUGGAAACGGUAGCUAAUACCGCAUAACGUCUCAAGACCAAAGAGGGGGAGCUUCGGGCCUCUUUGCAUCGGAUGUGCCCAGAUGGCGUUAGCUAGUAGGUGGGGUAGCGGCUCACCUAGGCGACGAUCCCUAGCUGGUCUGAGAGGAUGACCGGGUACACGGUAACUGAGACACGGUCCAGACUCCUACGCGAGGAAGCGGGGGGGAAUAUUGCACAAUGGGCGCAAGCCUGAUGGAGCCAUGCCGCGUGGAUGAAGAAGGCCUUGGGGUUGUAAAGUUCUGUCAGCCGGGAGGAAGUGAUUAAGGUGAAAACCUUGUCGCAUUGACGUUACCGGCUGAAGAAGCACCGGCUAACUACGUG
rnacentral:rRNA from 1 species